rnacentral:rRNA from 1 species
GACGAACGCUGGCGGCGUGCUUAACACAUGCAAGUCGAACGGAGAGGCGAACGGGUGAGUAUUACGUGAGUAACCUGCCUUCAACUGUGGGAUAAGCCUGGGAAACGGGGUCUAAUACGGCAUAGUUGGGGUUGGCCUCACGGCCUAUCAGCUGGUUGGUGUGGUGAGGGCCUACCAAGGCGGUGACGGGUAGCCGGCCUGAGAGGGUGGACGACCACAUUGGGACUGAGAUACGGCACAGACACCUACGGAAGGCGGCAGUGGGGGAUAUUACACAAUGGGCUCAAGCCUGAUGCAGCGACGCCGCGUAGGAGAUGAAGGCUUUCGGGUUGGAAACCUCUUUCGGUACAGAACGGGUAUGUGCAGAAGAAGCGCCGGCUAACUACGUGCCAGCCGCCGCGGUAAUAC